AUCCUGGCUCAGGAUGAACGCUAGCGACAGGCCUAACACAUGCAAGUCGAGGGGCAGCAUGGUAUCAGCUUGCUGAUACCGAUGGCGACCGGCGCACGGGUGAGUAACGCGUAUGUAAUCUGCCUGUUAACAGAGGGAUAACCCCGGAGAAAUCCGGCCUAAUACCUCAUAGCACAUAUUAUUCGCAUGAGUUUUAUGUUAAAGAUUUAUCGGUGUACGAUGGGGAUGCGUUCCAUUAGGUAGUAGGCGGGGUAACGGCCCACCUAGCCGACGAUGGAUAGGGGUUCUGAGAGGAAGGUCCCCCACAUUGGAACUGAGACACGGUCCAAACUCCUACGGGAGGCAGCAGUGAGGAAUAUUGGUCAAUGGGCGAGAGCCUGAACCAGCCAAGUAGCGUGAAGGAUGAAGGUCCUACGGAUUGUAAACUUCUUUUAUACGGGAAUAAAGUAUCCUACGUGUAGGAUUUUGUAUGUACCGUAUGAAUAAGCAUCGGCUAACUCCGUG
rnacentral:rRNA from 1 species